GGUGGGUUUCCGUAGACGUCUUUGAGAUACACUGCUAGUUUCCUGAUUCCCCAUGGGACUAUGUGUAGCCAGCUUGAUCCUGCCUGAUUUGUCAAAGUAAAAGUUUCUUUUCAUCAGAUAUUAUUGCUUAGUGUGGUAAGCAGCAGCAUGAGACAAGAGAAUGUUAUGAGCUACAACAUAAGGCUCCACCGAUGACUUCCCCUCCUUACAGAACCAAUGCCCCAGAAGUGAGCACCUCCCUGGAGCUUGUAUCCCCGUGUCAUAGCCUUGGAUCGUUAGCCCGCGUGGCUCGUUGAAAGUGAUCCAGUACUUCACUCUGUCUCCGAAUGCUUUGAAACAGUUUGUAGAAGAAGGAGAAGAAUGUCACCUGGUAAGCUGAGGAAGCUGUCCCGAACACAAACCCAUCUGGGAAACUCUCUCUGCUGAUAGAUUCCGAGGAAACCUGCUGACGAGAGGCGAUGAAGAACAUAUACAGAGCCAGGAACAGUCGCAUGAAAGAUUCCAUCUCUUUUGGGUCGCAUGAAUAAAAGAGCAGAGACAGAGAAUAGAUAUAUAUAGGAGUGAAAUUGUUUUGGUAAAGGAAAGAUUAGGAGGCAAGAAAGUGGAGUUUUUAUGUGCAAAGCAAAAGGGAUCAUCCUCUCUUUUGUGAAGGCUCUUCUUUGGUGUUGACAUUUGUGUUUCUCUCGUCUUAUAUUGUACACGUUGCUUUUACUUAUUUUGCCGAAGACUAAAAGUGUACUCUAAGAAUUUGUUAGUGAGACAUUGAUUCACUUAUAAAACUACCUAUGUUCUUUUUGCAUUA